rnacentral:rRNA from 1 species
GAGACAGCAGUAGCCGCGGUAAAACGAAGGGGGCUAGCGUUGUUCGGAAUCACUGGGCGUAAAGGGUGCGUAGGCGGAUUCUUAAGUCAGGGGUGAAAUCCCGAGGCUCAACCUCGGAACUGCCUUUGAUACUGGGGAUCUUGAGUCCGGAAGAGGUGAGUGGAACUGCGAGUGUAGAGGUGAAAUUCGUAGAUAUCCGCAAGAACACCGGUGGCGAAGGCGGCUCACUGGUCCGGAACUGACGCUGAGGCACGACAGCGUGGGGAGCAAACAGGAUUAGAUACCCCUGUAGUCCCUGUCUCUUAUAC